rnacentral:rRNA from 1 species
GAUGAACGCUAGCGGCAGGCCUAACACAUGCAAGUCGAGGGAGAAGCCUUUCGGGGCAGCAACCGGCGCACGGGUGCGUAACGCGUAUGCAACCUACCUUUCACAGGGGGAUAGCCCGAAGAAAUUUGGAUUAAUACCCCAUAAUAUUGUUGGAUGGCAUCAUCUGAUAAUUAAAACUGCGGUGGUGAAAGAUGGGCAUGCGUCCUAUUAGCUAGUUGGAGUGGUAACGGCACCCCAAGGCUACGAUAGGUAGGGGUCCUGAGAGGGAGAUCCCCCACACUGGUACUGAGACAGGGACCAGACUCCUACGGGAGGCAGCAGUGAGGAAUAUUGGUCAAUGGUCGGAAGACUGAACCAGCCAUGCCGCGUGCAGGAAGAAUGCCUUAUGGGUUGUAAACUGCUUUUAUAUGGGAAGAAUAAGGUGUACGUGUACAUUGAUGACGGUACCAUAUGAAUAAGCAUCGGCUAACUCCGUG